rnacentral:rRNA from 1 species
GACGAACGCUGGCGGCGCGCUUAACACAUGCAAGUCGAGCGAGAACCAGUCCUUCGGGGCUGGGGACAGCGGCGAACGGGUGAGUAACACGUGGGUAAUCUGCCCUCGGCACCGGGAUAGCCCGGGGAAACCCGGAUUAAUACCGGAUGGCCUUGCCGGCUCUCGGGCUGGCGAGAAAAGGUAGCUUCGGCCUCCGGCCGAGGAUGAGCCCGCGGCCGAUUAGCUUGUUGGUGGGGUAACGGCUCACCAAGGCGACGAUCGGUAGCUGGUCUGAGAGGACGAUCAGCCACACUGGGACUGAGACACGGCCCAGACUCCUACGGGAGGCAGCAGUGGGGAAUCUUGCGCAAUGGGCGAAAGCCUGACGCAGCGACGCCGCGUGCGGGAAGAAGGCCUUCGGGUUGUAAACCGCUUUCAGGAGGGACGAGGCCACUCGGGUGAAUAGCCCAGAGGGUGACGGUACCUCCAGAAGAAGCCCCGGCUAACUACGUGCCAGCAGCCGCGGUAAUACGUAGGGGGCUAGCGUUGUCCGGAUUUAUUGGGCGUAAAGAGCGUGUAGGCGGCCAGGUAGGUCUGGUGUGAAAACUCGAGGCUUAACCUCGAGAUGUCAUCGGAAACCAUCUGGCUAGAGUCCGGAAGAGGAGAGUGGAAUUCCUGGUGUAGCGGUGAAAUGCGCAGAUAUCAGGAAGAACACCAAUGGCGAAGGCAGCUCUCUGGGACGGUACUGACGCUGAGACGCGAAAGCGUGGGGAGCGAACAGGAUUAGAUACCCUGGUAGUCCACGCCGUAAACGAUGGGCGCUAGGUGUGGGCGGUGUCGACUCCGUCCGUGCCGAAGCUAACGCAUUAAGCGCCCCGCCUGGGGAGUACGGCCGCAAGGCUA